rnacentral:misc_RNA from 1 species
UCAGAGGUCGGGUCAAAAGGAGU